AGCGAACGCUGGCGGCAGGCUUAACACAUGCAAGUCGAACGGUCCUUCGGGAUAGUGGCGGACGGGUGAGUAACACGUGGGAACGUACCCUUAGGUUCGGAACAACACAGGGAAACUUGUGCUAAUACCGGAUGAGCCCUUCGGGGGAAAGAUUUAUCGCCUUUGGAGCGGCCCGCGUCUGAUUAGCUUGUUGGUGAGGUAAUGGCUCACCAAGGCUACGAUCAGUAGCUGGUCUGAGAGGAUGGCCAGCCACACUGGGACUGCGACACGGCCCAGACUCCUACGGGAGGCAGCAGUGGGGAAUCUUGCGCAAUGGGCGAAAGCCUGACGCAGCCAUGCCGCGUGGAUGAUGAAGGUCUUAGGAUUGUAAAAUCCUUUCACCGGGGACGAUAAUGACGGUACCCGGAGAAGAAGCCCCGGCUAACUUCGUGCCAGCCGCCGCCGUAA
rnacentral:rRNA from 1 species